GAGGUCUAUCAAAAGAUUAAAGCCAUGAAAGAGAUGUAUUUACUGAAUUAAACGAAAUGUAUCAGAAAAUAUCUGCUAAACUGCAACAGCCUGAGUGUGUGGUCUUCAGCAACAUUAAGAGUUGGAAACACUUUGUUUAGCUGGGAAUUAUUAUGACUAUGUUGAAAGCCUUGAGAAGCAUUAUAAAUUUACUACAUAUAUAGACUUGUAGCCCGAAAUAGUUUUGAUAUCAUG